GGGGGUGACAUGGUUUCGACAGUGACUGGAAACUCGACGUGCAUGCCGAGGUGCUUUCUUCCUCGUAAAACUUGAAAGCAAACAAGCUAGUUGCGAACGACGCUAACUACGCCCUCGCCGCUUAAUCCCGGCGAGCGGUUGCCCCGGUGGUGUUGAUGCCCCGGAAGCAGCCGUCGACUCUCAUCAACUCGCGAUAAAGGCAGGUCACUUGCCGAUACGCUAAAACCCAAAGUGAAUAGGUGAACGCGUUCCGUGCCUGUCCGGGAGCGGUCAAUGAAAAUCAAAGACCGGCUAAGCAUGUAGAUCGAAGAACGGAAGGUUGUUGGACGCGGGUUCGAUUCCCGCCACCUCCACCA
rnacentral:tmRNA from 1 species